CCUACGGGAGGCAGCAGUGGGGGAUAUUGCACAAUGGGGGGAACCCUGAUGCAGCGACGCCGCGUGGGUGAAGAAGCGCCUCGGCGCGUAAAGCCCUGUCAGCAGGGAAGAAAAUGACGGUACCUGAAGAAGAAGCCCCGGCUAACUACGUGCCAGCAGCCGCGGUAAUACGUAGGGGGCAAGCGUUAUCCGGAUUUACUGGGUGUAAAGGGGGCGCAGACGGCGAUGCAAGCCAGGAGUGAAAGCCCGGGCCCAACCCCCGGGAUGGUCUUGGAACUGCGUGGCUGGAGUGCAGGAGGGGCAGGCGGAAUUCCUGGUGUAGCGGUGAAAUGCGUAGAUAUCAGGAGGAACACCGGUGGCGAAGGCGGCCUGCUGGACUGCAACUGACGUUGAGGCCCGAAAGCGUGGGGAGCAAACAGGAUUAGAUACCCCAGUAGUC
rnacentral:rRNA from 1 species